ACUGCCUCUCCGACAGCCCUCAGGACACACCAUGGGCCUGGAGGCUGGUUGGUGGCACACGAGCGAGGACGCAGGCGGCGGCCCCGGCGACUCUCAACUGCCUCCCUGACCACUGCGACAACCUCCCCGAAGCCAUCGCCACUACCCGCAGCGGAAUCUAUCUGCGGCCAAUCUAUCGCCACGAACCGACUACCAGCUACGUAAACAACUAUGGCGGGAGAAAGGUGGCAGGCCGAGGGGCCCGGAGAAGGUUGGGCCAUCUACGUCACACCCAGAGCCCCCAUCCGGGAGGGAAGGCGGAGGCUCGACCCGCGAAAUGGCGACAGCAGUGACGCGCCUGCGUACGGAGCUCACCCGUCGCGCCGCGGACGACGGGAAGUGAGGUUUUCAGAGGAGCCGGCAGAAGUGUACGGCGACUUCGAGCCCCGGGCGGCCAAAGAAAGGUCUCCGGGGGGGAGACGAACCCCGCCAGAAAAGUUCCGGCCGGCUUCUGCGGGAGAGGAAGUGAGAGAAAGCGCUUACAACCUUCGCUCUCGACCACGGAGGCAGCGGCGAGCCCAGGAAGCCGAGGAGAUGAAGACGCGGAGGUCUGCUCGCCUUGAGCAGCACUCACAGCAGCCGCAGCUGUCUCCGGCCACGAGCGGCCGAGGGUUACGGGACUCUCCGUCCUCCAGUGAGGACCGCGAAGAGGAUGAACCUUCUUCCCGACCUGUUACAAGCCAAACAGCCUCAAAGAAAACUCUUAGAACACCAGAGGCUUCAGUGAUGAAUGAAGACCCUAUAAGCAACUUAUGCAGACCCCCAUUAAGAAGCCCAAGACUUGAUUCAACAUACCAAACAAAUGGAAAUACUAAAACGAAUGAAAGAGAAGCUACCAUUGUCCAGCAGGUCAAUUUCUUCGAAGAAGGAGAAACCGAAGAUGAUCUCGAGAGCUCUUACAGUGACAUCACUAUCAGGGCCAGAUCCAGCGAUUCUCUUGAGUCAAGAGAUGAAGCCACCCCAGCAGCUGGCAAUCAUCCAGAUUCACUGAGGGGCUGCCACACAAUCAGGACUUCCCAGCUCAUGAGAAUCAGCCAUUACUGCUGACCUCAGGAUGUCAGGAAAACCCUCAGGAGUGGGUUGACCGAGCUGUACGAAUGAGGAGUAGAAUGGCGUAUAACAACAUUCAGAAAUCCAACUUUGGAAACCAGUCUCCAUCAACCUCCAGGCCACAAUCGGCUAUCCAUCACCCAAAUGAACCUUCUGUCAAGAUAAAGUGGUGGCUGCUGGGACUUGUUGCCAUCCUUGCAGUGGGACUAUUUUGGUUCUUUCAUACCCCUGCAGUGGAAACCACUGCCGUUCAAGAAUUCCAGAACCAGAUGAAGCAACUCCAGUCUAAGUACCAGAGUCAAAACGAGAAGCUGUGGAAGAGAGGCACCACCUUCCUAGAAAAACAUCUGAAUAGCUCCCUCCCUCGGCCCCAGCCUGCCAUCCUGUUGCUCACUGCAGCUCAAGAUGCUGCAGAAGUGCUCAAGUGUCUGAGUGAACAAAUUGCCGACGCCUACUCCUCCUUCCGUAGUGUCCGUGCCAUCCGGAUUGACGGGGCAGGUAAAGCUGCUCAGGACAGUGACCUCGUUAAGCAUGAAGUCGAUCAGGAGCUGACUGAUGGAUUUAAAAAUGGCCAGAAUGCAGCUGUGGUACACCGCUUCGAAUCCCUGCCUGCUGGCUCAACCUUGAUCUUCUAUAAAUACUGUGACCAUGAAAAUGCAGCCUUCAAAGAUGUAGCCCUCGUCCUGACUGUACUGUUGGAGGAGAAGACGCUGGAAGCCAGUUUAGGCCUAAAGGAAAUUGAAGAGAAAGUGAGGGAUUUCCUUAAAGUCAAGUUCACCAGCUCUAGCACUGCCAGCUCCUACAACCACAUGGACCCAGACAAGCUGAAUGGGCUCUGGAGCCGCAUCUCCCACCUCGUGCUGCCUGUGCAGCCUGAGAACACUCUGAAAGCAGGCAGCUGCUUAUGAGGGAGAGAAGCGGAAAGCCAUCUCGGGUUUGAGCGGUUUUGAGACCUUGUAACCAGAGAUGGAAUUUGGAACAGUUUUUGAAAACUGGUUUCUUUUUAAAGGAAGUAAAGUUCAUACAUAAAAGUGGAAUAACUAAAUCAUUAACCAGCCUAAUUAUCUGUGAUUUGAGAGAAUUGUUUCUCUAUUUCCACUCUGAACCAUGUUCAAGGUAUUUAGCAUAGUGUACAGUAUAUGCAAUUCCCGAGUGUCUGCCUUGAUUCUGGCCGAAUCAUUCUUGCUGUGGUGUGGCCAGUGAGAAGGGCUAGGUUCCUCUUUCAAAGAAUCAGCUCUAUAGUUAACUUUGGAUUUACUUGUGUUUGUGACCUUAUUAAUGGCUGACAGCUCCCUAAUUGUAGCUGUGGAUUCCCCAUAUUUUUUCUCUCAUACCAUUUAAAUGUGUGAUCCUUAGCUGCUGCCUAUAAAAACAGAACUGGAUGUGCGGUUUAGCCAGCCCCUCCCUCACUGGUUUUUAGAGAGGGGAGGAGGGAUUUGGAGGUAGAAAGAGAAGAGAAAUUGUUCAAUAGAGAAGGAAAAGGAAGAAGGGAAAAAAGAUAGUUGCAAGCUGGGCAUGGUAAACCACGCCUGUGAUCUGUCUCAGUAUUGUCUCAGGAGAGUCAGGAGGAACAGAAGUUCAAGGCCAGCCUCAUCUAGUUAGUUGGGUUUUCUGCCACCCUGGGUUACGUAAGACACUGUCUUUAAAAAAAAAAUUUAAAACUCGAAACUUUACUUUUUAAAAAAAGAAACAUAAACGUGACAAGAAGCCUGUGAGGGGUAGUCACGCAGGCACGCCUAGGCGGCGGCCUCUAACUGUUACAGUUUGCCCUUUCUGUUUGUGUUCUUGUGUGAGGCUAAAGCUCAGUGGCGGAGCAUUAGCCCAGCCUGUGCAAUACCCUGGAUUCAGUACCCAGCAUUCCACACGCCUGUCAUCUCGGCACUCACUCAUCACAUUGCGGUUGGAGUAUCUUGAAUUGAAAGCCAGCCUGGAGUAUAUAUAUAUCAAGACCCUAAUUCAACCCCACUCCCCAGUAAAAAAAGAGUGCCAUGGUCCUCCCAAGAUUUUUUAAGCUUGUAUAUUAUGCAGUGUAUUUCCUUACUUAGCUCUUAUCAAUUUGAAAGGUAGGCAGAUUCAAAGCAUUCUCUUUGAUAAUACCUGACAGUUUUUGUCCUAAAGAAAAUAUAGUUUCUGGUACAUCCUCAACUUGAUGGUUUGGGAUUUUUUAAAUUAUUAUUAUUAUUACUAUUAUUAUUUAAUUUUUUUACUUUUUGCCGAUACUAGGAAUUGAACCUGAGAUCCCACACCAGCUGGUCACGUGUUCUCCUGGUGACCAUCCCCUAGCAGUAGAAACACAUUUUGAAGUCAGGUAACUCAUGUCUACAAUGCCAGCACUUGGGAAGUUGAAGAAGAAGCCAUUGUUAGCUGUAUAGUGAGUUUCAAGCCAGCUUGCCUGGGCUGUAGGAUGAAGUACUGCCUCUACACCCACUAUCCCCCUCCCUGCCCCCCAAUACACAACCACCCCCACUACCCCCCUUCCCACCCCUCUGACCCCUACCCCUGUCUCCACACCUACUACCUCCCUCCCCCCCAUCUCCACAGCCAAUACCCACCCCCCCAAUACACAACACAGAGAUAGCUUCAAAAUUGGUAAACAGUUCUCUGCUGGGCUGUUGAAGAGAACUUCAUUUUCUCUGUACAUGAGUACUGGAAGUCUGGGAGUGGUGGUCCAUAACAAAUAGAGAUAUACUAUGCACAUGAUCAUUUUGUCGAGUGAGUACCUCAAGCCAAAAGAGUGAACCUUACCACACGUGAAGAACAGCGGACCUAGGUCUCUAUUGCUCGAGUAUUUUAGAGUUUUUUGCAUUUAUAACUAGGUAUUCUCAUCUGUCCGCUGCUGUUUUGUUUUCUACUCUUAACAAUUCUAGAUGCACCUUGAGUUCUUCUCCAUAGACAUCUAAAUGAGAAUACUACUUUAGAGUCCUAGUCAACUGUUCUUUACCCACUGGGAGUCUCAUGGUGGGUGGUAAGAUUUGUAUUACUAUCUGUUUCGGUCAGGUCAGACUGAUAAGAUUCUCAUUUUGUAAAGAAUUAUAAAAAAGUUUUUGAAAGUCUUUAUUUUUUACAUACAUAUCAUAAGGAAAUAGAAAUGUCUUAUAUUCCACUGACUUAAAUAAAUUUCUUUUAUCUUUCAGAAAAAAAACAAUUGUAGCAGUUAAUGUGUAAAAAGCUUUUAAAAGCUAUUUUAGUAAUUUAAAUAAAUUUACUUUUUGGGUUUGUAUUCUGUAUGUUAUAAACUUAAUGAUUUACAA